AAUGUUAUGUCUGAUUAAAGUAAUAAAUUGUAAAUUUAUUUAAGAAAUUAAAAAUUUCUAACAUUA
rnacentral:tRNA from 1 species